GGUCAGGCAUGCUGUCAAGGUCACAGGCAAGGUCACAGGCAGGAGCAGGAGAGUCCAUACAGACCUCCCCCCCUGACCCCAGAAACGGGGACAAGGGGACAAGCAGGGCGGUACUGUCCUGCUGGGGGUCCAAUGGCAGGCCUGCUCUGGGAGCAAGCCCACGAGGGCCAUAGCCAAGUUGGUGACCUUGGUGGUGACCUCCUGUGUGAAGUGUGAUGAGGGGUAGCCUUGGCUCCAGGGCACAGGACUGGUGGAGCCCACAGGGGCUGGCAUAGAGCAAGCACAAUGACGGCUGUCCCUCUGGGGGAGGCACUAGGGACGGAUGAGCGCCCCACCCACAGCCACACCCCAGCCCUUUUAUUUAUUAUUUAUUUGGUACCAGGGAUUGAACCCAGGGGCACUCAACCCCAGUCCUAUUCUGUAUUUAGAGACAGGGUCACUGAGUCGCUUAGCGCCUGGCCACUGCCGAGGCUGGCCUUGAACUUGCGAUCCCCCUGCCUCAGCCCCCCACCAGCCGCUGGGGUUACAGGCGUGUGCCACGGCGCCCGGUCCUUUUUAUUUUUUGAGACAGGGUCUCCCUAAAUUGCCCAGGCUGGCCUUGAACUUGCCAUCCUCCUGCCUCAGCCUCCUGAGUUGCGGGCAUGACUGUGUGGCCACUGUACCAUUUUGCCAGCAGAGAAAUGUUGUCACCAGGCUCCUCCAGCCUCCCCGUGACCCCCUGCAUUACCUGUUCUUCACCCCAUUACCCCACAGGCCCACUCUCGCCCCUGCCUACACUGCUGGCCCUGACUGACGCCAGCCUGACUGUCGCCUGGACCCCCACUGGGCCUCAAGUGGGAAGAGCUGGCCCCGGGCUGCCCCGCCGGCUGGUCCAUCCAAUGCCCGGAAGCCCAGGCCCAGGAAAGAGCAGCAGGAGUUUUCCAUCACUGGACACGAGGCUCAGGAAGCCACAGACACCCGCCCAGCCGCAGCCCCCAGGAGGUUCAGACUGCAGAGGCAGAGACCAGGCCAAAUUAAAAUUGGUCGUGGGGAACAGCUCGGCAGGGUGGAACAGACAUGGGGUCGCCGGGGAGCGCAGGGGCAUCGAAGCAUGCGAUUGCUCCGCACGGAGGAGAAUCUUAACCUGCAGCUGGAGCGUCCAGCUGGGGCUUCCAGGACCAGAGGUCCAGAGCUGCUGGCCGCCGCUGUUGAGGAGGACAUGGCCCCCACUGUGGGUCCAGUCACGGCGCCUUUCCUCCCUGAGUCAUGGGGCAGUGCCUGCCAGCCUGGACUUUACUGUCCUCAUUCACCCCCAGCAGGCCCUGCCAGGUGGACGGAAGGACCAGCCGGACUUCCACAAGUUGUAUCUCAGAAAGGGGCAGCCUUUGGGCCGUGCUGGAGGUGGGAGGCCAUGUUGAGCCCCAGGACGUGGGCUUCCAGGGCUGCUUCCGGCGCAGCCUGGGGGGCGGGGCGGGGGGCAACCAGGCAUGUGGCCAGGCCGCCUGCUCCCUGAAGGCCCUGCAACCCUGACCCGGCAGCCCCCCUCGGUGCCUGGGGUGGGGGUCAUGCCCCAGCUCGUCUUUCGGGACCCCUCUCUGGUGAGAGCCUCGACCCUGAGAUUAGGGGCUGGGUCAGGGGUCAAGCGCAUUGGCCACGGCCCCCUUCAGGAGAGGGGUGGGCCGUUCUCCCUGCCACCUCGGAUUUCCGGGACAAAGGCUCAGUGGAGGAACCCUGCAGAGGCUGGGCCAAGGGCCGGGAAGGCGGAGGCUGCUGGGGGCCAGCUCCUGCCCCCUCCCCGCCAGCUUCCUGCGCCCACCUGGCACCCUCCCGGGGAGAGGACUGCAGUGGCCCCCCAGGCUGCAAUCAGAGGCGCUGAGGCCAGGGCAGGCUGCCCAAGGGCGGCGGGGCCAGGAAGCCACUCUGCCCUGCCUGGGGAGUCCCACAGCCCAGCCUGGCCCCAGGAGAAGGGCCAGGUGGGCACAGGAGGCGGUGGCCGUGACGGCAGGCGGGCGGGGGCUGGCAGUGGACAAAGGCCAGCAGGCUGGGCCUGCGGGGGCGCGUUCCGCUCCUCCGCAUCUGUUCCACUUGAGUCCACCCUGGACAGGCCGGAAUAAUCCCUCCGGCGGCCACUGCUGGGCCGUGACGGCUUGAAGGGGCCCGUGGGCCUGGCUGGCAGCUGGGCGGGGGCAGGGUAUGCUCCACCCCCCACACCCCCCAGCCUCCUGCCUCCGUCCUGGGAACACACCAGUCUGUUCCUGAUGACCAGGAGGAACUGAGUCACUGAGAGGGACCUGGAGCACAGCUGUGCCUCGAGGUCCCGUGGCCAGCCACAAAGCCUGGUCCAGGCUGUCCUUCCCUGCACCUGCAGGGCCCUCUAGUGCCCGACUCGCCUGUGGGCCGUGGAGUCAGGGAACCACUCCUCCCCGCCCCUCAGUCCUUAGCCCCUGGGCGGCAGGUAGGACAGGUGCUGACCUGGGUCCAGGAAGGCCUCACCAGCACUGCCCAGGUCUGCAGGCCCCUGCCCCUUCAGCUGCCACCUCCCAGGAGCAGCCCCCAGCACCCAGGUGUGUGGGGGAGGGGCCUCUCCUCCCUCCCACACAGCAGGUGGCACGGCGUCCAGGACGGUCACAGCUGGAGAAAGGGCCCUGGGCGGGGCCAUGAGCAGACCCUAGAGCUAGGGUCAGGUGGAGCCUGGGCAGGAGGCCCCUCUGGGAGGUCUCUGGGGUCAGUGGGAGAUGCCAGGGCCAUUCUGGACUAAACUCCUCCUGGGCUCCCUGGCAUCCUCAGGAGGAAGCCGAGAUCCCUCAGGGCCACACUGCUGCUCCCACCCAGCCUCCUGUGGCCGCUGGCCAAUGUUCGAGGGGCAGGGUCCCCCGCAUGAUCCUCAUGGCCCUGGGGAAGGACCCCUGACCCAGCACCUGCCCUCAGGGUUUCCCAGUCCCUGGGCUGGGCUCUGUCCUCCACUUUGCAUCCUCAGCAUCUGGUCUGGCAGACAGUGGGUGCUCAAUAAAGGCACUUAGACAGCAUAAAGGAAUGGGCACCACUUCACAGGGCCUGGAAACGGGCAGAAGGUGUACCUGGGCUGCAGUGACUCAAGUGGGGUCCGGGGCCUGAGACCAGAGCCUGGGCCCCCUCCCUGGGACCUGGGUUGGUCGGCACCUUGUCUGGCAGGGACCCCUGCCUCUGACCCCGAAUUUUACUGCCUCGAGACUGCCUUGGGAGGGUCCACCUUGGCUCUCAGUCGGGGGGACCACCCGCGGCCUUGGGAUAGGAGCUCCAGGUCCCUUCUGCGGGGGCUUUUCGGGCCUCAGUCUCCCCGGCUCUGAAGUGGGUGCUGGUUUUGCAGCAGGAAGCCCCUCUGGCCUGGGCUGGGGCCCCCCGCCCUCCGGGGCCGGCUCUGCUAAUCUCCCGCCUGCGCCUCGGUUUCCCUCUCAGCCGCCUAAUCCCCGAAUUGUCCGAGGCAGGUUUUACAUACAUUUACAGGCUUUUCAUGGGAGAUUUAGUGGGCCCCAGCACGGCCCUCACUGGUGAUUAACUGUCCGUAAUUGAAAAGCCCCUCCUGCCCCUCUCGCUUCUCUGUGGGCUCAGGGUGGACCAAGGGGCCCCAGGACCCCACCACUGUGGGCCCCCUGGUGCCCUCCCAUGUGCUCCAGUGGGGCCUCCCUGGCACUGAGGGUGUUGGGGCCUGCAGCACCUGGUGAGGGUGCCAGGACUCAGCCUGUCCCCUCCCUCCCCAAGUCCUCC
rnacentral:lncRNA from 1 species